rnacentral:rRNA from 1 species
AUUGAACGCUGGCGGCAGGCCUAACACAUGCAAGUCGAGCGGGUCGGCGGACGGGGGAGGGAUGCCUAGGAAUCUACCCGGGAGUGGGGGAUGACGACCAGAAACGGGAGCUAAUACCGCAAGCUCUCAGAUACGCCUAGGUCGGAUUUGCUAGUUGGUGGGGUAAAGGCAUACCAAGGCGACGAGCCGUAGCUGGACUGAGAGGUUGAGCAGUCACAAUGGAAAUGAGACACGGUCCAGACUCCUACGGGAGGAAGCAGUGGGGAAUAUUGGACAAGGGGCGAAAGCCUGAUUCAGCCAUGCCGCGUGUAUGAAGAAGGUCUUCGGAUUGUAAAGCAAUUUAAGAUAGGAGGCGUUACCAACAGAAUAAGCACCGGAUAACUUCGUGCCAGCAGCCGCGGUAAUUC